ensembl:rRNA 5S_rRNA 5S ribosomal RNA
GUCUAUGGCUAGACCACCCUAACACACCUGGUCUCAUCUGCUCUCGGAAGCUAAGCAAGGUUGGGCCUGGUUAGUACUGGGAUGAGAACAUAACUCUGCUAUCUAAGAAAAAACUGCCUAUUAGACU